GUUCACCACAUCUUCAGUCUGCCGUAAAUGCUAAUGCUAGCUAGCAUGGCGACCGAUGACGAUGGAUAAACAGUGUCUCCGACAUGAAUGAAAUCUCACGGAUUUGAUUUGUCUUCACCACAUCUGAUGUUGGUCAAGAUGUUCCACUGGAAAAUUGGGGAACUCUUUCUCAAAACAUGACUGAAGUAUCUGCUGUUUAUAGAUUUUGAUGCCGGAUAUCACCACAUAUCUUCAGAGAUAAAACUCGCUGAUGUCUGCAGCGGGUUUACUGUUUGAGGAAAAGCACAAAUGUGCUGCGACUGAAAGCUUGACAGAGCAUGAAAAGAAGCUUUAUGUCUAAAGUGCUCCAAGGCUGUCCGAGAGGCACAAGAACCCAUUCAGCCCGGGGGAUCAAGGGUUCACCGCAUCUCGUCAGAUUGAGGCAUCAUCUGAAGACCUCAGUCAAUGCUUCAAAUCAACUAGAUUUUAAAAUGACUCUAAGACUCCAAAUUAAUUACACACUGCCCAUCACAAAGCACUGAUAUAUCGCUCAUAUAGGAAAGUGUUCUGUCAGAAAUGGGCCAAAAUUCCAGCAAACGUCUAUGUGAAUCUGGUGGAAGCAAAAUAUACAAAAAAGCUAUCAUCAAUAGCAAAGGUAAAUACAUCUAAAAUAAA